rnacentral:lncRNA from 1 species
UUCUUAUUGAGGUAUUAAAAGCUGCACUGUCAUGCAUUCAUAUAUGUGAACUGGCAGCCAAACUUUGUAACGUGAACGUGAUGAUUUUGGUAUUGAUUUUAAAGAGAAUAGAUUGUUUAAAAUUGGGUUUUGUUUUCCAAAAGUUAUGCAUGUAUUGUAAUAUCGCAAAAGAAACUUAAAAAUUAUGGAUAAAAUUGCUUCCCACAUCCACGUUUUUCUGGUUUCUCGACAUAUUCCAAAUCCUAGUUUGUGCAUUUCUCAUUUUCCACGUUUUUCAGUAUUUUUCGCCAUAUUCCAUGUCCUACCAUGUGAGUUUCUCACUUUACUUGUUUCUAAGUUUUCUCAGCAUAUUCCAGGAAAAAGAGAUAUUAAUGGAUUAAUAUUAAUUCUAUAUAUACAUAUAUACAUAUAUAUAUACACACACACACACAAUUUUUAAAAAGAGAAUUAAAGUAGAGCUGGGGCAAUUGUGGAACACACCUUCAACCUCAGGCAGAUUUCUGCGUUCAAGGUCACCCUGACUUACAAGUCAGCUAGGGCUAGAGAAAUCAUAUAUCAGAAAAAAAACGAAAAAAAUAAUAGAAAGACAGA